GCGCCUAUAGCUCAAAGGUAGAGCAUCUGGCUCAUAACCGGACGGUUCCGGGUUCAAGUCCCCGUAGGCGCA
rnacentral:tRNA from 1 species